rnacentral:lncRNA from 1 species
CUUCACACUUCGGAAGCCACCUAAAUCUCCAGCCCUCUCUGCCUCCUCUCUCCUCUAUGUAAUCUACUUUUCACAUCUCUGAACUUAUUUAUGUUGUUCUUUCCGCCUGGAAUUCUCUGUGUCACCUUUCUAAGCCUGGAAAAGUUCUGUUAAUCCACUUCCCCAGGAUUUCUAGCUUCUGAGGAAGGAGGUCCUUCAGUCCUGAAAUGACAUCUGGGGAGCAUGUCACAGCAUCCACUAGAGUCCACUGCUUGUGCUGCUUGGAUCCACUUCUUCAUGGAGAAGUUCCUCUACCAAAAUUAUCUUGAAUGAUUCAACCGCUUCAAAUCCUUCAACAGUUCCCAAUCACUUACAGAUGGAAGUCCAAACCCCCCUGGCGUGAUUUUCAAGGUCUCCUCUUUUUAAAAAACGGAAUCUUUGGCAGAUCAAAGGUGGAACUAGAACCUAAGUCAACUGACUCCUGUUCUAAUAAUCCCUGAACAAAUAGCUAUAGUAAAUGUAGUAAGUUCUACAAGAAAGAUUAAGAUAGAGCACAGGGGUGGAUGGGGAGGCCCAUUUGUCAUAUGAUGCUUGCAUCUCCUCAGCCAUUCAUUUCCAGGGAUUGGAAUGCCUCCUAAAAGAUUAACCAUAGUCAUCUCGGGGUGGCAGAGUUGCAGGUGGUUUUUCAGAAUUUUGUUAUCAUUUUGAGUAUUUUUCAACAGCAAACAUUUUUCAUCUGCGUAAUAAAAGCAAAAUGAUAAUGACAG